AUCCUACGGGGGGCAGCAGUGGGGAAUAUUGCACAAUGGGGGAAACCCUGAUGCAGCGACGCCGCGUGAGUGAAGAAGUAUUUCGGUAUGUAAAGCUCUAUCAGCAGGGAAGAAAUAGCGACCUUUGGGUCGCCAGACGGUACCUGAUUAAGAAGCCCCGGCUAACUACGUGCCAGCAGCCGCGGUAAUACGUAUGGGGCAAGCGUUAUCCGGAUUUACUGGGUGUAAAGGGAGCGUAGGCGGCCUGGCAAGCCUGAUGUGAAAUACCGGGGCCCAACCCCGGGGCUGCAUUGGGAACUGCCAGG
rnacentral:rRNA from 1 species